rnacentral:rRNA from 1 species
GAUGAACGCUGUCUACAGGCUUAACACAUGCAAGUCGAGGGGAAACGACGGGGAAGCUUGCUUCCCCGGGCGUCGACCGGCGCACGGGUGAGUAACGCGUAUCCAACCUGCCUCUGACUGAGGGAUAACCCGUCGAAAGUCGGCCUAAUACCUCAUGGCAUCGUCUGCGGGCAUCCAACGACGAUUAAAGAUUUCAUCGGUCAGGGAUGGGGAUGCGUCUGAUUAGCUUGUUGGCGGGGUAACGGCCCACCAAGGCUACGAUCAGUAGGGGUUCUGAGAGGAAGGUCCCCCACAUUGGAACUGAGACACGGUCCAAACUCCUACGGGAGGCAGCAGUGAGGAAUAUUGGUCAAUGGGCGGGAGCCUGAACCAGCCAAGUAGCGUGCAGGAUGACGGCCCUAUGGGUUGUAAACUGCUUUUAUGCGGGGAUAAAGUGAGGGACGUGUCCUUCAUUGCAGGUACCGCAUGGAUAAGGACCGGCUAAUUCCGUG